rnacentral:rRNA from 1 species
UGGGGAAUAUUGCACAAUGGGGGAAACCCUGAUGCAGCGACGCCGCGUGAGCGAAGAAGGUUUUCGAAUCGUAAAGCUCUGUCCUAUGAGAAGAUAAUGACGGUAUCAUAGGAGGAAGCCCCGGCUAAAUACGUGCCAGCAGCCGCGGUAAUACGUAUGGGGCGAGCGUUGUCCGGAAUUAUUGGGCGUAAAGGGUACGUAGGCGGUCUAUUAAGUCAGGUGUGAAAGCGUGAGGCUUAACCUCAUUAAGCACUUGAAACUGAUAGACUUGAGUGAAGGAGAGGAAAGUGGAAUUCCUAGUGUAGCGGUGAAAUGCGUAGAUAUUAGGAGGAAUACCGGUGGCGAAGGCGACUUUCUGGACUUUUACUGUCGCUCAGGUACGAAAGCGUGGGGAGCAAACAGG